AUUGGCCUCAAGUUCCCAGCUGGUCUUGGAAUAAGCUCAAGCACUGCAGGUUACAACCCAAUCAAAACACAGCAAUACAUGUCUUUCAGUGCUCACUGAUUUUCUCCACCAUUGAUCAAUUGCUGUAUUCAUAAGCCUUUAGGAGACACUCCUCAACCCACGGCUCCUCAUUAGCACCAUUUGUAAACUGGUAGUAUUUUUACUAGCCCUCAGGAGCCCAGAAGGAGUGGUUCCCAAAAUAUUCUUUACCAAUUUAGUAUAUUCAUUAAUGGGCAAAGUGGAUCGAAUUAGGUGGCUGUUUUUGACUCUCUUUUCACAGAAAAUAAAUUGUGUGGUACUUUGUGGUCAGAAGUCCAUUCAGGGUGGUAAAAGGGAGUUUUUUUUCACAGGGUGAUCUUUGGAAUGGUAGCUGAGUGUCACAAAUGAGUAGAUUGGGGUCUGCCUCCAUAGGACAACAUAAUUGUGAACUGACAGUUAGGGCUUGAAUCCGCCAUGACUGCAACACGGCUUUAUUUGACUGUGUGUCUGUCCUCUCUUUCCCUCCACAGAAGAGGUGAACCUUCUAGAAGAACUCUCGCUGCAGGUGUCCAACAGCAGCAAUGCCUCCAUGUCUCUGGAUGCUGAGAGGUGUCCGGUGCUGCAGGUGGGACAGUACUCCACCCUGGCCCUGCCCCUAGCUGAACUCUUCACUGACGGGUUUGCAGAUGAGUUCAGCCUAUUGGUGCAGCUGCGGAGCCCUCAGCUAGACGAACACAGUGUGCUCACCCUGCUUAGCCACGACAGCCACAUCCUGCUGCAGCUGCGCAUCAGCGCGUACACACUCACCUUCAUCGGCACGCAACAGCGCCUCUAUGAGUUCCCGGUCAGUAGUCUGUCUGACGACCAGUGGCACCAUGUGGCUGUGAGUGUGUCAUCCGCUAGACUGGCGCUGUAUGUGGAUUGUGCCCUGGUGGAGCGUGUGGACUGGGUGUACCAGGGUAUGGGAAUCACCCCUGACGGUCUACUCAUGGUGGGGGGCAUCGUAGAGGGCUUCGAGACACCAUUUGAGGGCCAACUCCGACAGCUGACGUUCCUGAUGGGCGACCCAGACGUUGCCCAACACCAUUGCACUCUCCACACUGUCCAGUGUGGGGGGGCUGCCUCCAAGCCCCCCCGCUCACCACGGACCGACCACACAAUGGAGGUAUGCUGCAGCUCUCAACUCUCAGUACCUUCCUCGUAACGUUCACAAAUCAAAUCAAAUUGUAUUGGUCACAUGCACUAAAUACAACCAUGCAGAGUUAAAAAGUAAGGUAAAUAUUUGCAAAAUAUAAACAAUAAAAAGGAAAGAGUAACACAAUAAAAACAAUAACGAGGAGUACCAGUACCGAGUCCAUGGGUAUGAGGUAGUUGAGGUAAUACAAUAUGUGCAUGUGGGUAGGGGUAAAAGUGACUGGGCAAUUAGGAUAUACAAUAAACAGAGUAGCAGCUGUGUGUGUGUGUGUGUGUGUGUGUGUGUGGUCUAGUGAGUGUGCGGGCAGAGUCUAGUGAGUGUGCGGGCAGAGUCUAGUGAGUGUGCGGGUAGGGUCUAGUGAGUGUGCGGGCAGAGUCUAGUCAGUGUGCGGGCAGAGUCUAGUGAGUGUGUGUGUAGAGUCUAGUGAGUGUGCAUACAGCCAGUGCAAGGGAGUCAGUGCAAAACAAUGAAGAUAAAUAAAUAAAUAAAUAAUAAAGGGGGUCAAAGUAAAUUGUUUGGGCAGCAAUUUGGGUUUGGCCCCAGUGAUGUACUGCACUACCAUCUGUAGUGCCUUGCAGUCAAAUGCAGAGCAGUUACCAUUCCAAGCAGUGAUGCAUCCAGUCAAGAUGCUCUCAAUGGUGCAGCUGUAUAACAUUUUGAGGAUCUGAGGGCCCAUGCCAAAUCUUUUCAGCCUCCUGAGGGGGAAGAGGCAUUGUCAUGCCCUUAAUGACUGUGUUGGUGUGUUUGGACCAUGAUAGGUCUUUAGUGAUGUGGACACCGAGGAGCUUGGAGCUCUUGACCCGCUCUACUACAGCCCCAUCAAUGUGAAUGGGGGCGUGUUUGUCCCUCCGUUUCCUGUUGUCCACGAUAAGAUCAUUUGUCUUGCCCACGUUGAGAGAGAGGUUGUCCUGGCACCACACUGCCAGGUCUCUGACCUCCUGCCUAUAGGCUGUCUCAUCGUGUUUUUUGAUCAGGCCUACCACCGCCGUGUCGUCUGCAAACGUAAUGAUUUUGUUGGAGUCGUGUGUGGCAAUGCAGUCGUGAGUGAACAGGGAGUACUGGAUGGGACUGAGCACACACCCCCGUGUUGAGGUUCAGCGUGGCGAAUGGGUUGUUGCCUACCCUCACCACCUGGGGGCAGCCAGUCAGGAAGUCCAGGAUCCAGUUGCAGAGGGAGGUAUUCAGUCCCAGGGUUGUUAACUUAGUGAGCUUGGAGGGCACUAUGGUGUUGAAUACUGAGCUGUAGUCAAUGAGUGUGUUCUUUUUGUCCCGGUGGGAUAAGGAAGUGUGGAGUGCAAUAGAGAUUGUGUCAUCUGUGAAUCUGUUGAGGCGGUAUGAGAAUUGGAGGGUCCAAGGUUUCUGGGAUAAUGGUGUUGAUAUGAGCCAUGACCAGCUUUUCAAAACAUUUCAUGACUACAGAUGUGAGUGCUAUGGGGCGGUAGUCAUUUAGACAGGUUUCCGUGGCAAUCUUAGGCACUGGGACUAUGGUGGUUUGCUUAAAACAUGUAGGUAUUACAGAUUGGGUCAGAGAGAGUUUGAAAAUGUCAGGGAAGACACUUUCCAGCUGAUCAGUGCAUGCUCUGUGUAUGCAUCCUGGUAAUCUGUCUGCGGCCUUGUGAAUGUUAACCUGUUUAAAGGUCUUACAUUGGUUACGGAGAGCGUGAUCAUACAGUCGUCCGGAACAACUGGUGCGCUCAAUCAUGGUUCAGUGUUGCUUGCCUCGAAGCGAGCAUAGAAGGCUUGUUUCACUGGGCAGCUCUCGGCUGGGUUUCCCUUUGUAAUCCGUGAUAGUUUACAAGCCCUUCCACAUCCGAUGAGCGUCAGAGCUGGUGUAGUAGGAUUCAAUCUUAGUCCUGUAUUGACACUUUGCCUGUUUGAUGGUUCGUCAGAGGGCGUAGCAGGAUUUCUUAUAAGCGUCCGGAUUAGUGUCUUGCUCUGUGAAAGUGGCAGCUCUAGCCUUUAGCUCAAUGCAGAUGUUGCCUGUAAUUCAUGGCUUCUGGUUUUGUCACUGUGGAGGC
rnacentral:lncRNA from 13 species